rnacentral:rRNA from 1 species
AACGAACGCUGGCGGCAUGCCUAACACAUGCAAGUCGAACGAGACCUUCGGGUCUAGUGGCGCACGGGUGCGUAACGCGUGGGAAUCUGCCCUUCGGUUGGGAAUAACUGAGAGAAAUUUCAGCUAAUACCUUAUAAUGUCUUCGGACCAAAGAUUUAUCGCCGAGGGAUGAGCCCGCGUAGGAUUAGGUAGUUGGUGGGGUAAUGGCCUACCAAGCCGACGAUCCUUAGCUGGUCUGAGAGGAUGAUCAGCCACACUGGGACUGAGACACGGCCCAGACCCUACCGGAGGGCAGAAGGGGGGAAAAUGGGACAAUGGGCGAAGGCCUAAUCCGGCAAGGCGGGGGAAGUGAGGAGGCCUUAGGGUUGUAAAGCUCUUUUACCCGGGAUGAUAAUGACAGUACCGGGAGAAUAAGCUCCGGCUAACUCCGUG